AACCAACCCCACUUCUUAAAGGCAUCAACUGAACUGACGGUUAAGGAGUUAGAUAGAUCUAUUCUCUGUAUUUCUCUCUCAUCGCUUUCACUCUACAAAUUAAAAGUGCCUCCUCCUCUCUCUCAAAGAGAAAAGAGUUAGAUAAAUUUAUUAUCUGUUUUCUCUCUCACAGCUUUCUCUAUAAAUUAAAAGUAUCACCUCCACUCUCAAAAGUUCAAGAGAUCUAGUCAUUUUGGUUCAGUACAAUUAUCAUUGGUCUUUUAAAGGCAAAGGAAACAGGAGAUUUUGAGAGAGGAAGGAAGGGGAAAACUUUAGAGAUCAAGUAAUGUAUUUCAUCUAACUCAAUAAUAAAGGAGAAUAUGUGGAAGAUAGAAUUCAGAAAGUUGAAGAGAUAAAGUCAAAAGAAGUGUAGUCUUUUGGGGUUCCUUAAGACUUGCAGUGAAAAUUUAUAAUGUCUCCUAUUACGGUCUUUCUUAAUCUUGAAACUAUAUAAGUUUAUAUUUGCUGGAAAUUAAAAUGCGGAAAUGUAAAGUGCGGAAAGUAAAUCUACGCUAUUACAUCGAUUGUGCAGGAAAUGUAAACUAGCCUAUUUACAUGAUUUUGACAACCUAUACAUUUAUCUAGGAAUUUAAAUUGCAAUAAGAUAAAUAGAGAAAUGCAUGUCUUUGGUUUUUUUUGAUGAUUGAUUUUAAUUUAAAAUUAAUGCAUAAUUAAUUAAAUUAAAAUGAGAAAAAGAUGGAAAUAAAUUUAAACCUAGAAAUUAAGCUUAAAAAUAUGUUCAAAAUGCUUGUUAAUUAAUUUUAAAACAAAACUAAUUUUUUUGG